UACAGAGGAUGCAAGCGUUAUCCGGAAUGAUUGGGCGUAAAGCGUCUGUAGGUGGCUUUUUAAGUCCGCCGUCAAAUCCCAGGGCUCAACUCUGGACAGGCGGUGGAAACUACCAAGCUGGAGUACGGUAGGGGCAGGAGGGAAUUUCCGGGUUCGGAGGCGGUGGAAAUGACGUAGAUAUGGAGGAACACCUGAGAUGUAGAUGGCUUACUGGACCGUAACUGACGCUGAGGCACGAAAGCGUGGGUAGCAAACAGG
rnacentral:rRNA from 1 species